GCCCCGGUGGCGCAAUCGGUUAGCGCGCCGUACUUAUAGACAGUAUUCUCUCUGUGCUCGACACAGGACUAGGCGAUGCGGAGGUUGUGAGUUCGAUCCUCACCCGGGGCA